CUGCCUCUGGGGUCGUACCAUCAUCAUCCUCGGUGGUGGGCGUGUAUGAACGGUUCGCUGCUAGCUACAAUGAGAAAUAACGUUUGUGAGGACAGAAAGCUAAACAUUCCCGUCUGUCUGGCGGAGGCUCAGUAACACAGACUUUGUUGUGGUCCGGACGAAGAUUCAACCGUUUCCGCGACUCUUUGACGGACACAGUCCUUCGUAGCCCUUUAUUUUUCCGGCUAGCUAGUUAAUCCUUAAGUUACCAGCAGCUAAGACUGUGACUUUAACGGACAGCGGCGACUCAGCGUGCUAGCUAAAAAAAUAAAAAAAACCAACAUCCACAACAUCCAUUGAUGUUAACGUCCAUCAUUGUGUGCAGAGCGCUUUCGGACACCGCCAGCGUUGUUAAUUGCUGGGUUUCUGUCUAAGCAGGAUGUUCGGGAUGUCGGGAUGACAGGAAGAUGGCAAACGGGGUUGGAAAACACAAGCUGCUUGUCAUUGGACCAACAGAGCCAUGGUCAGUGAGGGAGAAGCUGUGUUUGGCCACAUCUGUCAUGAAGAGUGGAGACCAGAACUGGGUGUCUGUCAGCCGAGCCAUCAAACCGUUUGCAGAACCUGGACGACCACCUGACUGGUUCUCUCAGAAGCACUGUGCUUCCAAAUACUCUGAGCUCCUGGAAACAACAGAAGCCCCAAAGCGAAAACGUGGUGAGAAAGGUGAAGUGGUGGAGACAGUGGAGGAUGUGAUAGUACGCAGGCUGACGUCUGAGAGGAUCGAAGAACUGAAGAAGCUGAUCAAAGAGACACAGGAGAAGCACAGGAAGCUGAAGAGAGAGGCUGAACUGAUUCAAGCAGGACACCUGGACUCCAAACUGGAAGAUCUGUGGGAAGAAAUUCGGCAAAAGAAGAAACUGGAGGAGGAGGAAGCAGAGUUAAAAAGAAAAAACACUGAUGCUGCUUAUCAGGCCAGACAGGUGGCAAAGACCACUCCUAAGCGGAUGCCCAGCGUCUCCAUGCAUUCGCCCUCAGGCUGUAGCUCCCCAGGCCAGGAGUUCUCACCAGGCGACCCACUCGAGUGCUUGACGCUGGAUCUUGCAUCCACAAAAAAUGCUUCAGGGACAGCCAGGCUGUUGACAUUUACUGAGUCUUCUGGAUCGAGUACCGACGACAUCAGCCACGGGUCACUUCUGGAUGACCCCACUCAGAAGAAGCUCAUGGGCCAGAAAGCUACACCACCACCAUCUCCUCUCCUGUCAGAGUUACUGAAAAAAGGCAGCAUCUUGGCCGCAAAUUCCAGACUGAUUGGGGACGGUGACCUGUCCACUGGUACUAUAACAGGAGCACAUGACUUACAGCUGGCUCCACCCAGUCAACCUCAUUCUCAGGCAACAGGCGCCCCGAUGUUGUCCCGUCUCCUGGAGGCCGGUCCCACCCAGUUUUCUCCUCCGUUAGGUUUUAUGGUCAGUGCAGACUCGGCCUCCAGCGUUCCUCUCUCUGCUGCCACUCCUGUUCCUGUUGACUCUACUGACACAGCGAGUACAGAGGUCGAUGCGUUGGUGCCAUCUGCACCUCCCGGGAGCCAGCCGGUCUCCACAGAGGAUAAAGUGUCAGAGCUCAGCGAGGAGGAUGUGACUGUGUCGUAUAUGGGAGAUGAGCUGGACCUGAAGACAGUGGGGGACAUUAUCGCCAUCAUUGAAGACAAGGUUCAAUAUCUUCACAGCACAGAGAUCAGUUGUGGAAAAGCAGACGAGGCUGCAGAGGCUUUGGAUGCAGCUGCAGUUGAGGCUGCUCUGUCCCUUUGUGAGGAGAAUGGCCAUACUCUGUCUGGUGCCUGGGAUGCCGGGCCUUUCCGGUCCCAUGAAUCUCACCCCACAGUGCCCACAGGGGCUCCACAGUCCUCAUCUCUUCACCGUAGCCUGGAGGGGAGGACAGAAGCUUCACUCUCCUCUCUGUGCAACAGUCAAGAUAACCAUCUUGCAGCAUUUCCAAUGGGACUGAGGAGCCUUCCUCCCACUUCCUCAUCCUCAUGCAACUCAAAGAGUUUGGAGCACUGCCACAGUGGAGCACCUCCACAGUCUGAGGCAAUGAGAGAGACUGGAGAGGUGGUGCACCCGAAAAACCAAAUUUCAUUGGAUGUUACCAUAAAAUGUGAAAAUGAGAAGUGGGCACAGCAAAGACCUGAAAAAACCCACAGAGACUCAGUAUUAGAAGAUAGCCCACUGACAGAAAGGCAUCCCAAGGAGAUGAAGGUGAAGAACGGAAUAAGUGGUGGGGGGAGAGAGAAUGCCUCGGGGACUAAAGUGGAAAAUGAGGUCAACGGGCCAGAAUUGUGUGGAGAAGACGAGGGCGAUGGGGUGGAGGAAUUCUUUUCAGAGCCAGACGGAGAAACGGAGCUAGAGCCUGCGGCCAGCGAGAGCGAGGAUGGGUACAGCCUUCACACGGCUUCCUCGUCUCUGCAGCUCCACACAACUGCAGACUCUAUCCCCAGCAGCCCCGCUUCAUCUCAGUUUUCUGUGUGCAGCGAGGACCUGGAAGCUCUACAGGCUCACAAGAUUUGGAAGAAAGCCAUUAUGCUAGUGUGGCGUGCAGCGGCUAAUCACAGGUAUGCAAAUGUCUUCCUUCAGCCAGUAACAGAUGAAAUUGCACCUGGAUACCACAGUAUUGUGCACAGGCCCAUGGACCUGGCCACCAUAAAGAAGAACAUUGAGACCGGUUUGAUACGGACCACCGCCGAGUUCCAGCGGGACAUCAUGCUGAUGUUUCAGAAUGCGGUCAUGUACAACAGCCUGGAUCAUGACGUGUACCACAUGGCUGUGGAGAUGCAGCGUGAUGUCCUGGAGCAGAUCCAGCAGUUUCUAGCUACCCAGCUCAUCAUGGAGACAGCAGAAUCUGGUAUCAGCGCCAAGAGCCUGAGGGGCCGUGAGAGCACGCGCAAACAGGACUCUACUGACAAGGUGCUUCACUAGAAUUUUGACAAAAGCAGAGAGUACAGAAGAAGAGACAAGGGACACUGUCUCCAUGUCCUCUCCUGCCUUCCUCCUUUCUCUUUUUGAUGGAGGCACCAGAGGGCGCCGUAGUGCCAUAGAAGCCGACCUCAAGAUGAAGAAGUGAACAAAAACAGUAUGAAAAUCGUGUCCAGCGGUGUCCCUGAGAUGAAGUGAAAAGACUGAGCUUAUUGUCUCUCAUUUGCACAGAUACUCACUCUGCAUAAUGUGCAGUGUAACCUUUACUUGCACUCUAGAUUAAAUGGGUAGACUGUAAGGUGGAGAAGCUCAUUUCUUCUGAGACAGCCAUACAGACAUGGAUUACGUACCGUAUAAUCCCAGAUUACAACGGGGCAUUCUGAAAGACUAAGUCAAACCUUCCAUAGAUGUAACUGCAGAUCACCUAGACUUAAUCUGCCCUGAAGUUCCUUCAGGUUCUAUAAAUGAAGAUAAAAAUUACUCUAAGCCUACAAUUGGCUGAAAUUGAGUUUACUGGGCUCCUGGUUUAACUCCUUAUUAGUGCGGUUGAUUUUGUGAAUUGCACCAUGAUAAUAUGUAAAACCAGAGGCCCAAGAGUCUGAUUAACCUACAAUUUCUGAUAGUCUGAGCCCCAAAAAGUGACUCAUCAGAGGGACACAUUUCAAACAUUUUCAUUUCUCGUAUGAAACUCUACUUUUUAAAUAUGGCUGUAUUGUUUGUGUUCAGUUGAUUUUAUCUAUGCGACGUUUCCUAUGAAACAUUACCUACAUGCAUAUUCUGAGUCAUUUUCAGUGCUUUUAAAAAAAGAACGACAUUUAUAAACUGUUUUGUGAACUUUAAGGUGUUAAACGAUAAAUCUGUAAAUUAAUCUCCCACCUAACGUGUUAAAUUUGCACAAGAUGCGUCCACAGUGCCAACCUAAUGACAGACCACAGCAGCAACUGUUACAGCCUGACUUUGCUGUUUAAGAACUGAAACUCCCAUGCAAAAAAAAUCAUGAAAUAAAAUGUGCGCCGAAAUCAGUGAGAACACGCCUGAUCUUCCUGUGGGGAAUUUAAAUAAUUCAUAUUUUAUACCUUUGUUUUUCUAAGUCUAAAAUUCUCUUUUGUCUCUUUUGUGAGAUUGGUGUUUGAUGUGCUAUAUGUCAGUAAGAAUGCUUGCAGAUUUUUUCAAGAUUGAGAUUAAGCAGCAGUGUCUAUAAGCGUCAUUUGCAAAAAACAUCACCACUGUUAGUUUUAUAUCACUGAACUGUUGUUGCACAGCGCUGUCUGCACACAGAGGGGACGCAUCCUCUCUGACAAUGCUCCCUCUCUGGUGUAGGAAACAAUGAUCAUCAAAGAUUUUGCAUUUUGCUUCUGUUUAACCUUGUUCAGUAUUAUGUUAAUGACCUGAUGAAUAAAAUGGAUUCCCAGCUUUUAUUUGAA